rnacentral:rRNA from 1 species
UACAGAGGCCCCAAGCGUUACUGAGAAUCACUGGGUUUAAAGGGUGCGUAGGUGGCGCGUUAAGUCCGUUGUGAAAUCCCUUGGCUCAACCAAGGAAUGGCUUCGGAUACUGGCGUGCUUGAGGUUGGUAUGGGUCACUGGAACUGACGGUGGAGCGGUGAAAUGCGUAGAGAUCAUGAGGAAGACCAGUGGCGAAGGCGGGUCUCUGGACAGUUCCUGACACUGAGGCACGAAGGCCAGGGGAGCAAACGGG